rnacentral:lncRNA from 1 species
CGGGUCUCCCCGGAGCGGCGGCACCUCCUCCGCCUCCUCAGCCUCCUCCCGGCGGAGACCCCAGCGCCGGUUGAGUGAGGAUUUGCCAUGUCCCGGGCAUUAGCCUAUGAAUUGGGCAAGUGGAGAGGAGUGAAACAGGGAAGUCGCACUCUCAGGAACUGAUUUGAGAUCCCGAGACUCCCCUCCAUGAUGCUCUCAGCCACCAUGACCGGAAGCCUCCUGUCUGCCAAGCCCUGACCUGGGCACUAGGGAAACUGAUGAAUUGAUUGGACAUGACAUUCACACUCCAGUAGGCUGGGAGAGCAUACCUGAGGAACUUAAGUCUGCAGACUUACUGCAGACGGUCUCAUGUAGUCUAGGCUGGCUAUGGACUUGCUUUGUAGGUAAAGAUAGGCUUGAAUUUUUUCCCCUUUGAGACAUGGUCUCUCUAUGUAACCCUUGGCUCUCCUGGAACUCUCUGUAGACCAGAUGGGCCUCGAAUUUACAGAAAUCCACCUGCCUCUGCCUCUCUGGUGCUGAGAUUAAAGGUGUGCACGACCAUG